rnacentral:rRNA from 1 species
AGUCGAGCGGUAGCACAGGGGAGCUUGCUCCCCGGGUGACGAGCGGCGGACGGGUGAGUAAUGUCUGGGAAACUGCCUGAUGGAGGGGGAUAACUACUGGAAACGGUAGCUAAUACCGCAUAACGUCGCAAGACCAAAGAGGGGGACCUUCGGGCCUCUUGCCAUCAGAUGUGCCCAGAUGGGAUUAGCUAGUAGGUGGGGUAAUGGCUCACCUAGGCGACGAUCCCUAGCUGGUCUGAGAGGAUGACCAGCCACACUGGAACUGAGACACGGUCCAGACUCCUACGGGAGGCAGCAGUGGGGAAUAUUGCACAAUGGGCGCAAGCCUGAUGCAGCCAUGCCGCGUGUGUGAAGAAGGCCUUCGGGUUGUAAAGCACUUUCAGCGAGGAGGAAGGUGGUGAACUUAAUACGUUCAUCAAUUGACGUUACUCGCAGAAGAAGCACCGGCUAACUCCGUGCCAGCAGCCGCGGUAAUACGGAGGGUGCAAGCGUUAAUCGGAAUUACUGGGCGUAAAGCGCACGCAGGCGGUUUGUUAAGUCAGAUGUGAAAUCCCCGGGCUCAACCUGGAAACUGAAUUUGAAACUGGAAACCUGCAGUCUCGUAUAGGCUGCUAGAAUUCCAAGUGUAGCGCCGAUAUGUCUGGAGGAAUACCGGUGGCGAAGGCGGCCUCCUGGACGAAGACUGACGCUCAGGUGCGAAAGCGUGGGGAGCAA